UUAGAAUUGACUAAGAAGAAUAAGUCUUACACAGACUCAGUCUCUGAGAACUUGACAAUCUAAGUUUGCAUAUCUCUGCUGAUAUGUUUUCAGGUUACUCAGUAGAAAACCAAGUUAUUUACACAUCCCUUGGACACAGGGCGGGGAACAUCACACACUGGGGCCUGUUGUGGAGUUGGGGGCUUGGGAAAAAAAAAAAAAAAAAAAAAAAAACUAAAAACAAUUGUGGUACACAGGCAGUACUCUGGUGCACAC
rnacentral:lncRNA from 1 species